GACGAACGCUGGCGGCGUGCUUAACACAUGCAAGUCGAACGGAAAGGCCCUGCUUUUGUGGGGUUCUCGAGUGGCGAACGGGUGAGUAACACGUGAGUAACCUGCCCUUGACUUUGGGAUAACUUCAGGAAACUGGGGCUAAUACCGGAUAGGAGCUCCUGCUGCAUGGUGGGGGUUGGACAGUUUCGGCGGUUGGGGAUGGACUCGCGGCUUAUCAGCUUGUUGGUGGGGUAGUGGCUUACCAAGGCUUUGACGGGUAGCCGGCCUGAGAGGGUGACCGGCCACAUGGGGACUGAGGUACGGACCAGACUGCUACGGGAGGCAGCAGGGGGGAAUAUUGCACAAUGGGCGGAAGCCUGAGGCAGCAACGCCGCGUGCGGGAUGACGGCCUUGGAGUUGUAAACCGCUUUCGCCUGUGACGAAGCGUGAGUGACGGUAAUGGGUAAAGAAGCACCGGCUAACUACGUG
rnacentral:rRNA from 1 species